UCUGGGAGAUGAUGCGAUAUACGGAUUGUCAGACUGCUGUUCUCAUGAGCAGCAGAUUAGCCGUGCUGAGUUAUUUUGCACGUCAGUCUGAUCCCAAA